rnacentral:rRNA from 1 species
GUAGUCUGCAACUCGACUACAUGAAGCUGGAAUCGCUAGUAAUCGCGAAUCAGAAUGUCGCGGUGAAUACGUUCCCGGGUCUUGUACACACCGCCCGUCACACCAUGGGAGUCGGAUAUGCCCGAAGCCAGUGGCCUAACCGCAAGGGAGGAGCUGUCGAAGGCAGGCCCGGUAACUGGGGUGAAGUCGUAACAAGGUAAC